UGAGUAAGUAUUCUGAGGGGGCCUGAUGUAGAGGAUUUUAUUCAAAGUUCUAGGAUCAUUCACAGCUUUGAUGGUAUAGGUGCCAAUGUCAUCCUCCUUGUUAAAAACAGCUGGAGAUGCAAAAACGAAACAGGUAAGAUAGGAGUUGAACCAUUUUCCUUUACCUUAGAAUCUUGGGACUGCUCAGGUCUCUUUGUCAUUAUAUAUAUAUAGAUCAAAAACUCACAGCUGGAAAGCCAACUCCAGAGAACUGUUGACUCAAUAAAGGAGGCUUAGCCCAUCCAAUUCAGUUAAAAACAGAAGGUCAAUAAUGAUUAAUAACUGGAAAUGCAUGAUGAUUCCUUCAGUUCAACAUCAUGUUAGUUGCCUGGGUUAUAGCUCAAUUGCACUGUUGCACCCAAGCAGCAUACCCAACUGCUGGAAGGCUUUGUUUCUGAGUGAACAGGUUUGGUCAGCUGGAGAAGGGGGGAGUGAGGAGGGAUUUUCCAGGUUUAGAAUGGCUACAUUCUGAUCUGAAGGAAUGUAGGCCAUUCUCACCUCAACAACUUUGGCAACCCUGGCUGGAGAAGAUAAUAUGCAGAUACCAGUUUAUGAAAUGGUAAAUUAACAGUCACAUGGAUUUCAUGGUCAUUGAAAUAACUUUUCAUUAGAAUUAUUGUUCACACCCAUUACCAUUGGAUGUUUCAGAGCAGAUGCACCAGUGUAUUUUAAUGUCAAAAGGACAAAAUGCAACAGGGAAGUUCAACUCUUUUAUCAUUUUCAGAAAGGUUGCUUACCCUUUGGAUUCCCAUCUCCUAGAAUAAUAACUUUAUCUCUUGGGGGAGUAGUGGCUCCAGGCUGUGACAAUGAAGGAAGGAAAUAGCCAGCAAAGAAGUUGGAGGAUACAUAGGUGUAGGGAAUUCCUUCAGCCUCAAUAGUGCGGCGGAUUUGAGCCUUAGUUGCAAAUGCUGUUUUUGCUGGCUCAACAGCAUGGACACGGUCCACAUCAUUUCCAAACUCUGAUGGGAAGAAUCUCUAGACAAAAUAAAGCACUUUGAGACAAUGUAUGAAAAACCAGUUAUAUCUAUUCAGUCAUGAUAGCUCACAGACACAGAUCAUAUAUGGGAUAAAUGUUAACAAGAUGAUACAAGUGUUCUACAAGGAUAAAGUUGUCAUGCAAUUAGUACUUGGAAUGGUGGAAGGAAAGAGUGCACUGAUCAGGAUACUUACAUGUAAAGAAAAAAAAUUAAAUGAAAGGGAAGAAAAGAACUACAAAACUUCAUUCUGUAUCAAAUCACUUCAACAUCAAUUUUCAUCUUUUAUUAUUUAAUUAUAAUCCCUAGGGAGUGAUUUCAAAACAUUUGGCAGGAUUUAAUCAGGCUAAAUAGAACAACCACCAUUAGAGAAUAAUGCUAUGUAUCGUUGAAAAAUUAUCCAUAUCCAAUGACAGGCUCAGCUGCAUAGUUAAGUAACAGAUAUGGAUCCAUCAUCUCAUAGGGUAAAUAUUAAGUUCUUAUGGUUCUCCAUUCAACAUAAAGUUCAACAGCACCCAUUCUAGAAGAAACAAUUUGGAGCUCCUGACCUCAUUGUGAAGUGACAUCCAGCCACAUCUCCAUUAUGAGAGAUCUAGACAUCUGAGUCUCAGGGUUCCUUUUGCAGCUUUACAAAAGUGGCGAAGGGACUAUCUUAUGGUAAAGGCUUAUUGUUAUACUAACCAAAAGAAGGAAAUAGCCAUACUUCAGUACUACUUGAAGAGCUAAUAACAUCUCUAAAAUUUGAGGUUUUUUGAUUCCUUUUCCUAUGCUCUUUGAAAAUAUAGGAUUUUUAUUGUAUGUAGAUGAAAUUGUCUUUUAUGGCUUUCAGCAAAUGAUUUCUAUAAGAGUAGCCUCGUCUGAGGGGUUUAAUCAUUUCUAAAAAAAUAAAUUAUUUCCCAAACCAAAUAUUUGAUUAUGAUAAUCAAAAUAUGGGUUAUAUUAUGGCCCUGAAAGCAGUACACAAUAAACCCCAUUUCAGCUGGGAAGAAUAGAUCAAUUGUAAUCAGGCUACAUCAAGAAUUAAAAGCAAUUUUCAAACAUCUAAUAGCUGAGAUUGAGUGGGUUAUGGUACCUUUUUCUUGGAAAAGAACACUCAACUCAAUCCAACCUCACUGAAAUACCAUAGAUCUAGCAAGAAAAGAAUGUUAAGGUCUUUCAUGCACUUUCAAAGACUCUUUUAACAUUUCUAAGGAAGGUGAUAUCAUAUCAUGCACAAAGGAUAAAGAUAUUUGCGACAAAUGAUUACAAAUGCCAAUAAUAAAUAAAUAUCACAGUACUAGGAUCUGCAAAGAAGGGAGAAAUGACAAGGAGAAGCUGAGAAAUUGCAUCAGUUCGGACGGUUAUACCUUAACAUUUCCAGCUUCUUUGAUGGCAGCAAUGAUCUUCACUUGAUCCGGCAACUGUGCGUGGCCAACCGUGGAGAUCACAACAUCUACUUGCUUGAUCGCCUUCACCAAACUCUCGUGAUCGUAUAGAUCUCCCUGAAACAUAACAUAACCAAUCAAUAAACUAUUUCAUAACCCUAAUUCUCCAAUUAAGAAGUAAGAAUCCAAAGAUAGGUGUAUUUUUCCAGUUCACUGAAACCAAACAACUUAAAACAAAAACAUCCGAACUUUUCUUUUCCUGAGGAUCGCCAAUUUUUUCUUUCUGGAUGAGUGAAGAAUUUCAGUUUUCGUUUUUUUAGGAACUUCAAGAUCCAAAAAAUUCUAGAACUCCAACAAAUUUCGUUAAUUUUCCCGGCGGCAAUAAGAAGCAAAAAUUGGAAAAGCAAGAAUGGCGAGAAAAGAGAGCGAAUAGAACGUACAUAAACCAAAGUCACGCCAGAGCUCUUGAAACUCUCAAUGAUUUCAAACUUCUCCGAAACUGUGGAUUCUCUGACGAGAGCGAAGGUAGGGUGACCGGACUUAGCGCUGGCAGCGACGAUAAACUUUCCGAUGUAGCCAGUGCCGCCGAUGAUGAGAAUCUUGCUCUUUUCGGACAUUGUUAACUUUUUUCGGGCGAAUCUCCGGCGAGAUAUGUGGAAUGAGAAGACUAAGAUGAAAGGUCGCGGGGAAGUGGAUGGGCUCCAAAGACCAAGGACGACGAUCUUAUAGGACUGAGGAAAUUAAGAUUGUGUAAUUACGGAACUAGCCUUGUGUUUGAGCCGUAACUUCCGUUUUGGCUAUAUUUUGUAUGCGGCUUCAUUUUUAUGUGAUUCACGAAUGUGUCCAAGUUCAUUUGUUUGACACUUGGUUGGAAUCAGUCAAAUUACAAAACUACCAAAUGUUUGGUUUGGAAAGCGAAAAAGUGUACAAUCCGUUAGUAGAGGGAAAAAAAAUGUGUUUUGAGUAUAAAAUUAAUUAUAAAAUAUUAAUUUUUUAAAAAUAAUUUAAGUUUCGUGCAUUCAUCGAUUAAAAAUAAUACUUAAAAUAGUUAAUAGUAAUACCUAUAUCAUUAAAAUAUAGUACUUAAAUUAUCAAAGAUAAUACCUUUUGAUAGCGAAAAAUCCUCCAUUGAUAAUAGGAAGAUAUCUUCUACUGAAAUCAAAAAUAAAUUUUUCAUCAAAAUCCCUAUUUUACAUUCAAAUGUAUAUUCCAUCUAUGCAUUUAUCUCUUCCUUUGCAUUUAUCGUUUCAAUAUUCUCUUAAUUUUGUUCCAUUUUUAUAGACUUACACAUAUAUUCUUUUAAAUAUCAGACCCGUUUUACCUUUAAUUAAAAAGUAUAUGAAAUAAUAAUUAUUUUUAGAUAAUUAUAUAAAAUUUAUAAUUAUAUAAAUUGAGUUUUGAAAAAGCAUGAGAGAGAAAGGAAAAAGAUAUUGGUUUAAUUAAGGCAUACAAGUCGGUCUUCUUGAAGGGUAGUUAGAUUCCCUACCUAAACUCAGUCUUCUUUUUUAUUGCUAUGAAACUUCUUGCCAAGUUCCAAGUUUUUAGUCAAUGGAUUUAUUAAAUUCUGGUAUGACUUGGUGGGGUGUGUAGUAAUUAGUCUACGGGAGAGUCAUUAUUAAUAUGAAGCAGGGAUUAUUAUAAUAUUUUACUACAUUUCCAAUAGCAAAUGCUACCUCGAAGAAGUUACACGUCACAGCGAGACGCUCGAGAACUUUCGCAGAUUCCAAGACUUGACUUUCAAGCGAGCCAAAAGCCUUGGAUAUCAGAUUCCAAUUGGAAUGGUUAAACCUUUUCAAAUGUUUUCCAUAUAAUUUUAUUGGUUAAAAAAUAAUUAUAAAAGGGUUAUUUGAUUAAAAGGACAUUAAAAAUCUAAUCCUUUAUUUUUUUUUUAAUUAUAUUUUGAUUAAAAUGCCUUAUUCUUUUCUUGUAAAAAUAAUUUUUUUAAAACCUAUAUAUAAAUAAUUAAAAUAAUUAAGAAUAUUUAUGUAAAAAAUAAUUAUUUAAAAAAAAACAAAAAAAAUGUUAAGUUCAUAAAUUUGAAAAUUAUUUCAUCAUUUUAACCAAUCAAUUCAUUAUAAAACACUAAAAUCUCUUUUAAAAACACGACUUCUCUUUUUAAAUUUAAAUACAUGCUUACCCAGUAAAAUGAUUACCUUUUUCCAAAGUUUUUACUAUAAUUUGAUCCGAUAAAAAAAAUGAUAAUUAUAAGAGGAUGUUUAAUAAAUCAACUUAAUGAGUUAAAGAGAUUUAAUAACUCAAUUUAAAUUAUUAAGUAGAUUAAACAUGUUCGAUAAAAUAACUUAAUCUCACCACUAAUAUUUAAAAAGAGCUUUAAGUAUUCGGUCAAAAUAAUUAAUUUAAUUUUAAUUUUAAUUUUAAUAUUUUUUGUCUUAUUUACCUACAUGAACACAUAUUUAACAAUCAUAAUAUUAUAGUAAUAUGCUAAAUAUUUAAAUAUUUUAAUUAUAUUAUAUACUAAUAUGCUAAAUAUUUAAAAGCGUUACUCGUAAUUAAUAAUAUUAUAUAUUACUAUUAUCAUUAUAAAUUUUAUUAUACAUACAUUUAUUAAGAAGAAUACAUUUAUGAUGUCAGCUAUACUUAAGGAUUGUUGUAUUUAAUAUACAAAAGUGUGGGAAGAUGCGAUCGGGGUAUUUAAUAUAUAUAUUACUUCAUUAUGACAUACAUAUAAAAUAAAUAAAAGGUGGAUUCCACUUAUUCUACCUACCAUUCAUGGACCAUAUAAGAUAUAUUAUUUUAUCUUUUUAUCUUAUAUUAUAUUAGAUUAUAUUUAACAAACUAAACAAGACAUAAAGGACAACCGUUGUAUCAAAUUUCAAACUUGAAUAGUUCAUGAACUAAGCAUCAUUGCCUUUUCUUGUCUCAAUAGAAUAAGCCUUUUAAUUGUUUUAUAUACAUUUAUUUCUUCAUCAAGCCUGUUUCUUUCAAGCUCCCUCUCUUGAGCUAGAAAUAUUAUAGUAGGAGCUAGGUGUUCCUUUCUGUAUAGCUCCAUCUCUAAUCAGGUAUCAGAGAAGAUAAAAAAUCUAAUUCCAGAAACUUCUACUUGGAUAAGAUUAGAAAGGCACAUUGUCCUACUACAGAAUAUGCCCAAUGGCAUAGACAAGGAAAUAACCCACUAUUUUCCACACAACAUAAAUUAAGACAGCCACACAUGUUUGCUUAUUUAGAUAGUGCAGCAUGAAAAUGAAAAAGUUGAAAACUACCAGGACCAGAGUCUAACCUCAUCCUAUUUGACAUCAGGAUAUAGCUCUGAAGCCUCCACUCCAAAUGAUGGCUCGAUCUCGAAGUUGGUCUGGUCACCCUUAACAAAAACAGAGUGAUCGAUCGAUAAUAUUGCGUUGAGUGGAGCUGAGGCUUCUGCAAGAAACAGUGGAAAACCCAUUAAUCUAAAGGUCUUAGCCAUCAUUAACAGAUCAACUAUAUAAACGGAUUUUGGAGCCAAAAUGGCCUCUAUGGCUGAAAAAUUAUCCUUUGUGGAGACCUUCUUAAACUUAUUAUCAAGGUAGACCUCUUCAUGUCAAGCAGGAGUCAUUAAAUUAAUUUUUUCCUUUUUAAACUUAAGUUGAAACCACGUUUUGAAAAGGGUUUUUGCAUGCAUGGGUCAAAAUAAUUAUCAAAUUGCAAAAAUGACCCCUCUCUUUAGUUUUAUUGAGAGAUGUUCCUCUUUAAACACUUUUACCCUUUCAGAAAGAUCAUCUCCCUACUUAUUUUAUUCAUUCUAUACAUUUCUCAAUUUCUCCAAUCUCAUUUAUCUUUUCAGUUCAUUUUUUUUUUUUUAUCUCUCUUCUUCCUAACUCUCUGAGUCUCUUGCAUUACCAUGACUUCAGUUUUAAGUGUGACCACCAACUUAAUUUUUUCAUUUUUCUGGCCUUAUCUUAAACUUGCUUUGUUUCUUUUUCAAUGGAUGACACUCUAGGAAAACUUGAUCUCAUUUCAUAAUGUCCCACCCAAUUUUCUUAUCUCUCAAACAACUCCUCAUUCUCAUUCUUGAUGUUCAACUGAAGUGUUAAGUUUUAUUUAUUACGAAUUUAACUAAGGUUAAAUUUUGAUUGAGAAUGAUAAGCUAAAUUACACAAGUGUUACGUUUGGUUGCAAAAAACUUAAUUAGAGUUAAAUUUUCAAUCAUAAUAGUAAUAUGAACCCCGCUAAGUUAAGUUUUAUUUACAAAAGACUUAUGUGGGGUUAGAUUUCUAUUUCAUUUACAAAGGACUUGAUUAUGGUAACCUGAACUAUACUCUGGUUAAGUUUCAUUUAAAAAUAACUUAAUUAGGGUUAAGUUUUUGUUUCACCUACAAAGAACUUGAAAAAGAUCAAGGUCUUGUUAAAAUGCUCAUUUUCACUUAACUACCGAAACAUAGGGCUCGAUAAAAAUAGAGUUGGAUAAGAGAUUUAGUAAAUAACAGCUUUCUAUUCAAUCUCAUCUUCGACGUUGUAGAAGUUCAAAUGAAAUUGCAAAAUAAUCCUAACAAAAAAAAUUAGAAAAAACCCUAACAAAAAACAAUGACAUAAAACCCAACUAAAAAGAAAGAGAAAGAUGAGAUUCGAUCUCAUCUUCGCCAUUAUAGAAGUUUACAUGAAACUCCUAACAAAAAACAACGACAAAAAACCUCAACAAAAAGCUUCAUCCAAAAACAACGAGAAAAAACGCUAACUAGAAACAAAGAGAGAGAUGGAGAUCUGACCUCAUCUUCUAUAUUGUAGAAGUUCAAAUGAAGCUGCAACCAAACAAAAAACAACUCCUAAAAUUUGAAAUGUAAAGGGCUCUAAUGUUUGUUCAGGGGUUUGGACUUCACUGGAAAAAGAGAUGGAACAUGAACUUAGAGAGAAGGAAGAACCUAGAGAGAAGGAGAAAGCUAGGUAUCAAAAAUAGAAGGAACAUUUUUGGAGGAAGUAAAGAAGAGUAAAAAUGUCCAAAAUUGGUCAUUUCUCUAAAGAAUGAAUAAGGGAAGUCAUUAUUUCGAUUUUAAAAGUAUUUUAGUCGACUUCAAUCGAGGUCUGGGGCAUGAUCAGCAGAUUUUACCAGCAGUCCAGGUAACAUUUUCUAACUCAAAACAAUUGAAUCAAAAACCAAUUUCAUUUAAACAAUCUAGCAUAAAGGGAAUGUCAUAUUCACAAUCUCUGUUCCAAUUUAAAUUCACUAGGAAAACCAAAGCUUGAACACUUCCAAAAAGGAAAAUGUUUCUCACUAACCUUGGAUGUUCUUCAGUCACUCUGGAACACAUGUUUCUUUAUUUAAUGGUGCAGCAUGAGAAUGAAAACUACCAGAACCAGGAAGUACCUCUCACACAAACUGGUUGAGGUACUCAUCCACAGUUGUGUAUUUGACAUCAGGAUAUAGCUCUGAAGCCUCCACUCCAAAUGAUGGCUUGAUCUCAAAGUUGGUGUGGUCUCCCUUAACGAAAACAGAGUGACAGAAUGCUAACAUCACAUUGAGUGGAACAGAGGCUUCUGCAAGAAACAGAGGAAAACCAUCAAUCUGAAGACAUUUACCAUCAUUAAAACAUCAACUAUAUGAACAGAGUUUAGGGCCAAAAAAUGGCCUCUGUGGUAAAAAAAUUAUCCUAUGUAGGAACCUUCCCUAACUUACCAUCAAACUAGAACUCUUGAUGCCACCUAGGCACAAUUUUUUAUUUUUUCCCUUUUUUAGUCAUAGGUUGAAACUGCAUUUUGAAAAUGCGGUUUCUGAUUUUAUGUGAAGCCACAUUUUGAACAAUGGCUUGAAACAUGAUCCAAACUCAAUAUCAUUUGACCAAAACAGGCCUUUUUUACCCAAAGUUCAUAUAAACACGUGAUACUUCCAAGUUCAACCAACUCCUCUUUCUUUCUUCUUUUUAUUCCCUUCUUUUUUCAAAUCCAAUGAGCAAUAGUGAAUUGUUAGUCUGUCAUAUGAAUCUCUUAGGAAGACCUUAAUCACGGUCUGGGGCAUGAUCACCAGAUUUUACCAGUAGGCCAGCUAACAUUUUCUAAGAAAAAAGAAUUGAAUCAAGAACCAAUUACAUUUUAACAAUGCAGCAUAAUGGGAAUGCUCUAUUCCCAAUCUCUGUUCCAAUUUAAAUUACUAGGAAAACCAAAGUUUGAACAGUUUCAAAAAAUGAAAAUGUUUCUCACUAACCUUGGAUGUUCUUCAGAACUUGCUCCUCUGGAACAUAUAUCUUCUCAAGGGUUUUUCCAAUCUUCUUUUCCCAUAAGGAGACAAUUUCGUUGAAUGAGUAGGUGUUCUGAGGAGGCCUGAUGUAAAGGAUUUUGUUCAAGGUUCUAGGAUCAUCCGCAGCUUUAAUGGUAUAGGUGCCAAUGUCAUCCUCCUUGUUAAAAACAGCUGGAGAUGCAAAAAUGAAAUGAGUAAAAUAGAGUAGAAUCAUCUUCCUAUUCCUUCAAGCUUGGACUACUCCGUAAUUCCACUUUUUUUGUUUACAGAACACAAACUUGAAAUUAUUUUGAUAUGAAACCAAGUUAUUGUUUUCAUUUAAUGCUCAUGUCAAAAACUCUCAGCUGGAGAGCAACCCAAGAGGACUGUCAAUAUAAAAAAAGAGGCUUUAGCCCAUCCAGUUCAGAUAAUAAUGAUUAAUUACUAGAAGUGCACAAUGGUUCCUCAGUUUGACCACUCCAGGUCACAUGGAUCAUGCUAGUUUCCUGUAUUAUGGCUCAAUUGCAAUGUAGCACCCAAGCAGUCAACCUCAACUGUCGGAAGGUUUUGUUUCUGGGUGAACGGGUUUAACCAGCUGGGGAAAGGGGGAGUGGGGUGGGGUUGUCCAGGUUUCAAAUAGCCACAUUCUGAUUUUCAGGAAUAUAGACCAUUCUCACCUCAACAACGCUGGCAACCCCAUCAAUUUUUUUGCCUGGAGAAGGAUAAUAUGCAGCUAUUGGUUGGUGAAAUGGUAAAUUACACUCUCAAAAGGAUUCCAUGCUCAUCUACAUAACCCGCUGAUUAGUAUUACUUUUUAAGCCCACUAUCAUCAGAUGUCACUGAUACAUGGACCGGUGCAUUCUAACAUCAAAACGAGAAAAUGCAAUGGGAAAUUAAGUUGUAUGAUUUUCAGAGGUUGCUUACCUUUUGGAUUCCCAUCUCCUAAAAUAAUAACUUUAUCCCUGGGGGGAGCGGUGGCUCCAGGCUGUGAAAAUGUAGGAAGGAAAAAGCCAGCAAAUGUGUUGGAGGACACAUAGGUGUAGGGAAUUCCUUCAGCCUCAAUAGUGCGGCGGAUUUGAGCCUUUAUCUCAAAGGCUGUUUUUGCUGGCUCAACCGCAUGUACACGGUCCACAUCAUUUCCAAACUCUGAUGGGAAGAAUCUCUGGAUGAAAUAAAGCACUUUAAGAAGAAGCUGUAUAACUCAAUAGAUUGAAAAACGGGUCAUAUCUAUUUAGUCAUAUUAGCUCACGACAGGGAUCCUAUAUGGGAUACACUUUGACGAACUUGAUACAAGUGUUCAGCAACCAUAAAGACAUACAAUUAGCAAUUCAAACGAUGGAAGGAAAGAGUGCACUGAUCAGGAUUCUUAAAAAGUGAAAGAAAAAACCAUGUAAGAAAUGUGAAAAAAAAAACUACCAAACUUCAUUCAUAGAAGGAAAAUGCGCACUAAUCAGGAUGCUUAGAAGAUGGAAGAAUAAAAACUAAAUGAAAACAGGAGAAAAAAAAAAAAAAAAACUUCAUUCUUGUUUAGUUGUCUUGCUGCUUUUUGAAGCCUUUUGUAUACCAUUUGUCUACAUUGGGUGUGCUGUCUUUUUUUGUUAGGCGCUUCUCUGUUAAUAUAGUUUGUUUUUAGCCUAUCAAAAAAAGGGGGGGGGGGGGGUGGUGGUUGUGGGUGUAUACAAUGGAUUGGAAGUGGUAUAGCAUGCCCCAUGAAAGGGAAUUAGUAUUUAAAAUUUUUUCCUUUUUACAUCAAAAAUUAAGAUUGACUUUAAAGCAUCGAUCCAACCUGAGUCAAUGCACAUGGAUCUAGACAAGAAUCAAGAUUGUUGAUCCUCAAUGAAUAUUGUAUAUAUGGAAUGUUCUUUCAUGCACUUCCAACAUUUCUAAAGAAGGUAUUAUUACAUUAUGCACAAAGGAUAAAGAUAUCACCAACAAAUUAUAACAAAUUCCAAUAAUAAAUAUCAUAGUACUCGGAUUUGCAAAGAAAAGAGGGAAUUAGAAAGAAGAAAAGGAGAAAAGGAGAGAAAUUUCGUCAAUUUGGACAACUUUACCUUGACAUUUCCAGCUUCUUUGAUGGCAGCAAUGAUCUUGACUUGAUCCGACAACUGUGCGCGACCAACGGUCGAGAUGACCACAUCCACUAGAUUAAUCGCCUUCACCAAACUCUCGUGAUCGUAUAGAUCACCCUGCAACAUAACAUAACCAAUCAAUAAACUAUUUCAUAACCCUAAUUCCCCAGUUAAGAAGUAAGAAUCCAAAAGCAGGUGUGUUUUUUCACUUUACUGAAACCAAAAUAACUUAAAACAUAAACAUCCGAACUUUUCUUUUCCUGAGGAUCGCCACUUUUUUCUUUCUGGAUGAAUGAAGAAUUCCAGUUUUCGUUUUUUUAGGAACUUAAACAUCCAAAAAUUCAAGAACUCCAAUUAAUUUCAUUCAUUUUCUCGGCGGCCAAAAGAAGCAAAAAUUAGAAAACCAAGAAUAGCGAGAAAUGAGAGCGAAUAUUACGUACAUACACCAAAGUCACGCCGGAGCUCUUGAAAAUCUCAAUGAUUUCCGACUUGGAAGGAUUCGAAACGGCGGAUUCUCUGACGAGAGCGAAGGUAGGGUGACCGGACUUAGCGCUGGCAGCGACGAUGAAUUUUCCGAUGUAGCCAGUGCCGCCGAUUAUGAGAAUCUUGCUCUUUUCGGACAUUGUGAGCUUUUCCGGCGAAUCUCCCGCGAGAAAUGUGGAAUUGAGAGGACUAAGCGAAAGGUGACUGGAGAGUUGGUGGGCACCAACGGCCAAAGACAAUGCUCUUGUAGGACAGAGCUCGAGGAUAUUAGGAUUAUGUAAUUACGGAACUAGCCUUGUGUUUUGGUGGUAAUCUCCGUUUUGGUUAUAUUUUGAAUGUGGCUUGAUUUUUAUGUGAUUCAUGAAUGUGUCAAAGUUCGCUUGUUUGAAAAUUGGUUUAGAUUGGAAAGUGAAAAAGUGUAUAUCACAUGAGAGAUUUAUAAAUAGAAAAAAAUGUAUUUUCACACACUAAUGUAAAAAUAAUUACAAAAUAAAAACUCUUUAAAUAAUUAUAAAAUAAAAACCCUUUAAAAAUAAUUUAAAUUUUAUGCACUCAUCGAGUACAUGAAAUGAUAAUUUAAUAUAGUUAUGUGUAACGACCCGCUCUCCCAAUAAUGACUCCCCUAGCUUUAAAAAAACGUCUUUAGGAUUAAGAUUGAUACUAUUUAUAAUAACUCGUAAAACCUAAAAAGGUCAUCACGACUUUAAAAUGCGUUUGCAAGAUUAAAAAAAAAUAAAAAAAAUUAUACUUAGAUAGUGUUAGGAACUUUCUCCCCUAUCUGAUGUGUGAUGUUACAAAUAUCCCCCAUGCAGACACAACAUCCUUGUUGUAUCUCAUGGAAUUGUGGAAUUAGAAUGAUAAUUUAAUGUAAUUAUGUGUAACGAUCCACCCUAUUUGAUGUGGGAUGUCACAAAUAUCCUCAUGCAGACACAACGUCUUUGUUGUAUCUCAUGGAAUUGUGGAGUUAAAAUGAUAAUUUAAUGUAGUUAUGUGUAAUGACUCGUUGUCCCAAUCAUGUAGAUAUUAUUCGUUUUGGACCCAAAAAAUGACUUUCCUGACUUUAAAAAAACGUCUAUGUGAUUAAGAUUGAUAUCGUUUAUAAUAACUCGCAGAACCUAAAAAGGUCCCCACGACUUUAAAAUGUGUUUACAAGAUUUUUAAAAAAAAUUAUACUUAUAUAGUGUUAGGAACUUUCUCUCCAUAUGAUGUGAGAUGUCACAAACAUCCCUAUGCAGACACAACGUCCUUAUUAUAUCUCAUGGAAUUAUGGAGUCAAAUAGACAAACACUCCCUAUGAGGCAAACAAACUCCCACACCGAAAUCAGAGAUCAAUUCCGAUAUUAUUUGUAACGAUCUACUCUCAAUUAUAUAAAUAUUGUCCAUUUUAAUCCGAAAGGGCAUUACAGUUUUAAAACGUGUGUACAGGAUUAAGAAAAGCCUUUACAUAUACAGUGUCAUGAUUUUUUUUUUCCUAUCGGAUGUGAGAUGUCAUAUUAUGAAUCCGUCAUUCUGUCUUUAUUCAUUUGUUGCAUUUAAGAUAUUUGAAAAAUUGAGCGAUUUUAUAAAAUGAGUUUUGAAAAGGCAUGAGAGAAGGAAAAAGAUACUAGUUUAAUUAAGGCUUACAACCCGGUCUUCUUAAAGGGUGGUUAAAUUCCCUGCCUAUUAAAUUUCUUAUCAGGUCGUUAGUCAAUGGAUCUAUUAAAUUCUAGUAUGACUUUGUAGAGUAGUAAUUACUCCAUGGGUGAGUAAUUAUUAAUAUGUAGCUGGGAUCAUUAGUAUAUUUUACUACAUUUCCAAUAGAAAAUGCUACCUCAAAUAAGUUACAUGUCUCCGCGAGACACUCAAGAAUUUCAGCAUAUUCCAAGACUUGACUUCCAAGUUAGCCAAAAGACAUGGAUAUGAGAUUUCAAUUGAAAUGAUUAAACCUUUUUAGAAUGUUUUCACUAUAAUUUCAUCGGCACAAAAAAAUAAUUAUAAAACACUAAAAUCUCUUUUAAAAACAUGUCUUUUAUUUUUAAAUUUAAACACUUACUCAUCAUUUUUAUUAGGAAUGAUAAUGAGACAAGUUUUUUUAGAUAUUUGUCUGCCUUGUUCUUAAUGAAAUGGGUUUAAAAUUUAAAUAAACGAAAUUAGAAUGAAUUUGGGAUUUUUUUAAAAACUUGGUACUAGCUAUUGUCUUUUCUCAUCCUAUCUAAAUUAUAUAUAAAAUUAAUUUAGUUUUAUUUUUAUUUCCCUAUUUGAUAUAUAUAUAUAAUUAUUUAUAAAAUACAUUUAUUUUAAUGUAAUUAAAUUUAAAAAAAUCAAAAUAAAUAAAUAAAUAAGACGAGAUGGGCAUGAAAAAUUCACAUACCUACCUUAUUUAAUUUUUUAAAUAAGAUAGAAAUGAGAAUUAUUUUGAAUAAACAAGAUAAGGUUGAAAUGAGAUCAACUCGUCUUAAACUAGUCUCGUUGCUAUCUCUAUUUUUUAUACUUUUUUAGUUGAAAGGGAUAAAUGAAUUAAAGUUAAGGAUUAAGAUUAAAUAUUCUACUUUACAAAAAAAAAAAUGAGACUAUUAAAUAUUAUUAGAAUUUUAUCAACUAGUCAUAAGAGUUUAAAAAAGAAAAUAUUGAUGAACAAUUCGUAGGAGGAAAUGAAUUGAGAAUAAAUUGACCUAGUGAACCUUCAGUUGCAUUGCCUCCUACUAUGUUCCACUUAUUCAGAAACGAAAGAGAAAGGAUGAGGGAUCUAUAACUAUAAGUUAAAAGGACAAAGGAUCAGGACAAAUAGAGGAUAUAUAUUAUGAGAUAUUAUUUCUAAUAGAAUAUGAUAUUUUAAAAUAUUGCAUUUAAUAUCAUUUAGAAAUUCUUCUCUUAUUUUUAUUUUAAUAAAUAAUUUUUAGUAUUUUAGUAAUAAUGUUUAUGAUUAUAAAUAAUAUAUAUAUAUAUAAAAUUAUAUUAUAUACUAAUAUGCUAAAUAUUUAAAAGCAUUACUAGUAAUUAAAUGAUACUAUAUAUUAAUAUGAUCAUUAUAAAUUUUAUUAUACAUAUAUUUUUUAAUUCUUUUAUUAAGAAGAAUAAAUUUAUAAUGUCAGUUAUACCUUAGGAUUGUUGUAUUUAACAUAUAGAGAUACAAAAGCGAGGAAAAAUGCAAAAGAAACUAUGAUUGAGUUAUUCUAUCAUUUACCGACCAAACAUGAUACAAAAUAUAUUAUCUCAUCUUUUAUCUUAUAUUAUAUUAUAUUCAACAAACUAAACAUAACAUAAUAGACCGACAUUCUAUCAAAUUUCUCGUAUUGUGAUUUUAAAACUUGAAUAGUUCAUGAACUAAACAUUAUUGCCUUUUCUUGUCUCAAUGGAAUAAGCGUUUUAAUUGUUCUAUAUGCAUUUCUUCAUCAAGCUCCCUCUUUUGAGCUAGAAAUAUUAUAUUAGGAGCUAGGUACUCCUUUUUGUAUAGCUCCAUCUCUAAUAAGGUACCAAAGAAGAUAAACUACAAAGGCAAAGAAAAUCUAAUUCCAGAAACUUCUACUUGCAUAAGAUUAGAAAGGCACAUUGUCCUAUUACAGAAUAUGCCCAAUGGCAUAGACAAGGAAAUAACCCACUAUUUUCCACACAACAUAUAUUAAGACAGCUGCACAUGUUUGCUUGUUUAGAUAGUGCAGCAUGACAGUGAAAACUACCAGGACCGAAGUCUACCUCUCAAACAAGCUGGUUGAGCAACUCAUCCACAGUUGUGUAUUUGACAUCGGGAUAUAGCUCUGAAGCCUCCACCCCAAAUGAUGGCUCGAUCUCAAAGUUGGUUUGGUCUCCCUUAAUGAAAACAGAGUGAUCGAUUGAUAAUAUUGCAUUGAGUGGAGCAGAGGCUUCUGCAAGAAACAGAGGAAAACCCAUCAAUAUGAAGAUUUUAGCCAUCAGAUCAACUAUAUAAACAGAUUUUGGGGCGAAAAUAGCCUCUAUAACUGAAAAAUUAUCAUAUGUGGAUACCUUCUUUAACUUAUUAUCAAGCUAGGCCUCUUCAUGUCACCUUGGAGUCAUUUAAUUUAAUUUUUUCCUUUUUAAAUGUAAGUUGAAAAUGCAUUUUGAAAAGAGUGUUUGGACACACGAGUCAAAAUAAUUAUCAAAUUGUAAAAAUAACCCUUUUUUCAAUUUUGUUGAGAGAUCCCAGCAGUCAAAAUAAUCAUAUAAUCAAACCCAGUCUUUUUCUUCCCAACCUUUUUUUUUUUGGCCUUAUCUUAAACUUGCUCUAUUUCUUUUUCAUUUAAGACACUCCAGAAAAACUCAAUCUCAUUUCAUAAUGUCCCACUGAAUUUUCUUAUCUCUCAAACAACUUCUCAUUCUCAUUCGUGAUGUUCACCUAAAGUGUUCUAUGAUUAAAUUUUAUUUAUUACGAAUUUAACUAAGGUGAAAUUUUCAUUAAGAUUGGUUAGCUGAAUUGCACUAGUGUUAUGUUUGGUUGUAAAAAACUUAGUUAGAGUUAAAUUUUCAAUCAUAAUAGUAAUAUGAACUCCACUAUGGUUAAGUUUUAUUUACAAAAAACUUAAGUGGGGUUAGAUUUCUAUUUCAUCUACAAAGAACCUGAUUAUGGUAACUUGAACAAUCCUCUGGUUAAGUUUCAUUUAGAAAGAACUUGAUCAGGGUUAAGUUUCCAUUUCACCUAUAAAGAACUUAAGUAAGAUCAAGGUCUUAAUUAAAAUGUUCAUUUGCAUUGAACUACCAAAACAUCGGACUUAGUAAAAACAAAGUUAGAUGAGAGAUCUAGUAAAUGAUAAGUUUCUAUCUGAUCUCGUCGUCAACAUUGUAGAAGUUCAAAUGAAAUUGCAAAAUAACCCUAAUAAAAAAAAAAUUAGAAAAAACCUCUAACCAAAAACAAUGACAAAAAACAAAACUAAAAACAAAGAGAAAGACGAGAUUCGAUCUCAUUUUCGUCACUAUAGAAACUUACAUGAAACUACAAAAAACCUUAGCAAAAAACAACGACGAAAAACAAAGAGAGAUGGAGAUCUGACCUCAUCUUCUAUAUUGUAGAAGUUCAAAUGAAGUUGCAAAACCCCUAACAAAAAACAACUCCUAAAAUUUGAAAUAGAUAAGGCUCUAAUCUUUGUUCAAGGGUUUGAACUUCACCAGAAAAAGAGAUAGAACAUGAACUUAGAGAGAAGGAGAAGGCUAGGUAUAAAAAAAUGGAAGGGGCAUUUUUGGAGGAAAGAAAGAAGAGUAAAAAUGUCCAAAAUUGGUCAUUUCUCAAAGGGAAGUCAUUAUUUCGAUUUUAAAAGCAUUUUAGUCGACUUCAAUCGAGGUCCGGGGCAUGAUCACCAGAUUUUACCAGCAGGUCAGCUAACAUUUUCUAAGUUAAAAACAAUUUAACCAAGAACCAAUUUCAUUUUAACAAUCUAGCAUAAAGAGAAUGUUCUAUUCACAAUCUCUGUUCCAAUUUAAAUUCACUAGGAAAACCAAAACUUGAACACUUCCAAAAAGGAAAAUGUUUCUCACUAACCUUGGAUGUUCUUCAGAACUUGCUCCUCUGGAACGUAUAUCUUCUCAAGGGUUUUUCCAAUCUUCUUCUCCCACAAGGAGACAAUUUCGUUGUAUGAGUAGGUGUUCUGAGGAGGCCUGACGUAAAGGUUUUUGUUCAAGGUUCUAGGAUCAUCCACAGCUUUAAUAGUAUAGGUGCCAAUGUCAUCCUCCUUGUUAAAAACAGCUGGAGAUGCAAAAGUGAAAAUGAGUAAGAUAGAAUAGAAUCACCUUCUUAUUCCUUCAAGCUUAGACUACUCUGUAAUUCCACCUUUUUUCUUUUACAAAACACAAACUUAAAAUUAUUUUCAUAUGAAACCAAGUUAUUGUUUUCAUUUAAUGCUUAUUUUUUCAAAAACUCUCAGUUGGAAAGCAAACCCCAGAGAACUGUUGAUAAAAAAAAGAGGCUUUAGCCCAUCCUGUUCAGUUUAAAACCCAAUAAUAAUUAUUAGUUACUGGAAAUGCAUAAUGGUUCCUUCAGUUCAACCCCUCCAGGUCACCUGGAUCAUGCUAGUUUCCUGGAUUAUGGCUCAACUGCAGUGUCACACCCAAGCAGUUGACCCCAGCUGUCCGGUUUUCAAAUAGCCACAUUUUGGUUUUCAGGAAUACAGACCAUUCUCACCUCAACAACACUGGCAACCCCAUCAAAUUUUCUGCUUGGAGAAGAUAAUAUGCAGCUAGUGGUUGAUGAAUGCACAUUCAAAUAACCCAUUGAUUAGUAUUACCUUUUAAGCCCACUAUCAUCAGAUGUCAUUGAUCAUGGGAGCGAGUGCAUUCUAAGGUCAAAAGAAGAAAAUGAAACAGAAUUUCAGUUGUUUUACGAUUUUCAGAGGUUGCUUACCUUUUGGAUUACCAUCUCCUGGAAUAAUAAUUUUAUCCCUGGGGGGACCAGUGGCUCCAGGCUGUGAUAAUCUAGAAACGAAAAAGGCAGCGGUGGCUUCAAGCUGUGAUAAUCUAGGAAGGAAAAAGCCAGCAAAGAAGUUGGAGGACACGUAGGUGUAGGGAAUCCCUUCAGCCUCAAUAGCGCGGCGGAUUUGAGCCUUUAUCCCAAAUGCUGUUUUUGCAGGGCCAACCGCAUGGAUACGGUCCACAUCAUUUCCAAACUCUGAUGGGAAGAAUCUCUGGAGGAAAUAAAGCACUUUGAGAAGAAGUCAUAUGACUUGAUAGAUGAAAAACCACUCAUAUCUAUUUAGUCAUAAUAGCUCACAGACAGGGAUCAUCCAUGGGAUACACUAUGAUGAACUUGAUACAAGUGUUCAGCAAGAAUAAAGUUACACUUAGCAAUUCAAAUGAUGGAAGGAAGAAGUGCACCGAUCAGGAUGCUUAAAAAGUGAGAGAAAAAACUAAAUGGAGAAGGUGAAGAAAAAAGCUACCAAACUUCAUUCAUGAAAGGAAAAAGUGCACCAAUCAGGAUGCUUAAAAAGUGGAAGAAAAAACUAAAAGAAAAAAGGUAAAAAAAAAAAAAAAAAAAACCCACCAAACCUCAUUCUGUCCUGAAUCACUUCAGUUUUAAUUUUUAAUUUUUAAUUAUUUAAUUAGUGCUCAAAACAUUUGACACUAUUAAAUUAGUCAUUUGACAUAAUGUAUAUGAUGUUAUCCAAUACCCUAUGUUUGUUGCAUAAGUAUAGUCUCCUUACACAUGGGUUCAAUAAAUUGAGAAAAUGAAUAAACGGUGAAGUUUGAACAAAUGAUUUCCAACCAAAAAAAGGAUCUUAUGCCAUGUUGGACAACCGAUUUACCUAAAACUUAAGUUGUUAGGAUUUAAGCCCACGGUGUAUAUCAUGUUGCCCAUCAGUAUCUAUAUCCAACGAAAGGUCAAGAACCUCCUUGAAACGAUCCUAUUCUAACUUGCCCCUAGCUGCCAAACCCUCAAGGGCAUUAGCCUAAGGGCACAAAGUCAAUAUAGCUCAAGAACCUUCCUGAGAUGUUCCUAUUCCAGCUGACCCUAGCGGCUAGAUCUUCAAGGGCAUUAGCCUAAGGGUGCAAAGUAAAAACCAAGUUUGAGAACCUCCUUGAAAGGACCCGAUUAUAAUUGGUCCCUGGCAGCUAGGCCUUCAGGGACAGAGCAUAUGAGUGUAAAGCCAUUCCAGGACAAGAACCUCCUUAGAAGGACCCCAUCACAAUAGACCCCUAUUGGAGCCUAAGAACAAAAAAUGAAUAAUCAUAUGAAGAAAUAAUAAAACAAAGCAUAAAAGAUAGAAGAGAAGAUAAAAAUAACAAUAUCCUAUGCCACCUCAUUGUCCCCUCCUUCCUUGGAUGAUGCCUCGCUUUUAUCAUUGUCCUCCUCAUCGAUUUCCCCCAAGGCCUUCAUUCGACCCAUGAGCUUGUCGACUUUCAAAAAAUGCUCUUGCAUUAUUGAACCUUAUGAAUAAAAUUAUCUUUUACCACUGUCCACAAAUGAUUUUUUUUUUAAAAGAAUGGCUUUGUCUUAGAGUUCUAUCCUUUUCUUUCUGUUUCUCAUGGAUAAAAAAAACCCCAACCCAAAUAUUUUUUUAUAACAAGGAUAAUUUUUUAUACCUAAAGAAUUAAAAUCGACUUUCAAACACCUAAGCGUUGAGACUCAACUCAAUCCAACCUCAGUCAAUUAACAUGGAUCCAGCAAGAAAAGAUUGUUCAUCCUCAAUGAAUAUUGUGAAGAUGGAAUGUUCUUCCAUGCCUUUUCAACACUCUCAACAUUUCUAAAGAUGGUAUUACUACAUCAUGCGCAAAGGAUAAAGGAAUUACCGACAAAUUAUUACAAAUUCCAAUAAUAAAAAUCAUAGGAACUUGUAUUUGCAAAGAAGAGAUGGAAAUAGAAAGAAGAAAAGGAGAGGAAGAGAUUUCGUCAAUUUGGACGACUUUACCUUGACAUUUCCAGCUUCUUUGAUGGCGGCAAUGAUCUUGACUUGAUCCGAGAACUGUGCGCGACCAACGGUCGAGAUGACCACAUCCACUUGCUUAAUCGCCUUCACCAAACUCUCGUGAUCGUGUAGAUCUCCCUGCAACAUAACAGAACCAAUCAAAAAACUAUUUCAAAGCUGUAAUUCUUCAAUAAGAAGUAAGAAUUCAAAAAUUGGUGUGUGUUUCCACUUUGCUGGAACCAAAGCAAAUCAAAACAUAAACAUCCAAAAUUUUCUUUUCUUUUCCUGCGAAACACUACUUUUUCUUUCUUUCUGGAUGAGUGAAGAGUCUCAGUUUUCUUUUUCUUAGGAACUUAAACUUCCAACUCCAAUGAACUUCGUUCAUUUUCUCCGCGGCCAAAAGAAACAAAAACUAGAAAAGAAAAAAUGGCGAGAAAUGAGAGCGAACAGUACGUACAUAUACCAAAGUCACGCCGGAACUCUUGAAACUCUCAAUGAUUUCCGACAUGGAAGGAUUCGAAACGGUGGAUUCUCUGACGAGAGCGAAGGUAGGGUGACCGGACCUAGCGCUGGCAGCGACGAUGAAUUUUCCGAUGUAUCCAGUGCCGCCGAUGAUGAGAAUCUUGCUCUUUUCGGACAUUGUGAGUUUUUCCGACCAAUCUCCGGCAAGAAAUGUGGAAUUGGAAAAGGCUAGCAAGCAGUAAGCAAUGACGACUGACGAGUAGUGCAGUACUGCAGUGUUCUUAUAUAACAAAGCUUGAGGCUAUAUAGAUUAUGUAAUUACGAAACUAGCCUUUUCUUUCAGCAGUAAUUCCCGCUUUGGUCAUCAUAUGUAUGUGGCUCGAUCUUUGUAUGAUUCACGUGUCCCGAUUCAUAUUUGUUUGAAAAUCGGCUUAGAUUAGUCCAAUUUACAAGACUACACCAUCUUUAAUUUGACAAGAGCAUAUAAUAUAUAUAUAUAUUGUAGCAAUCAUUAAUAUUUUAUUUUAUUUUUGGCACGUGUAAUUUUAUCUCUAGCUCCCAUAUCUUAUUUUAUUGCACACUUUUGACUCCGUUUGGCCAUAUUGAUAUAUAUCAUAGAUUUGCCUUAGAUUUUGGUUAAUAAAAUUUUAAUCAUUAUUGCACGUUUUUAUUCUCCACCCAUGUUUAAUAGUAUAUUUUAGAGACUUAUCGUGGAUAACCACCCCUUCACCUCUCCUACUGAAUUGUCAUUUGAUAUUGCUUGGGGAUCCCACAGAGUUGUCUAGUUGAUAGGUUGAUAAAAUUUACAUGCACGGUCAUUUUCAUGUCCUUAAAGCAAAUACAAAUUAAAAUGUGAUCGAUUGAUGCUAAGAUUUGAAUUUAUCUAUUUAAUAUAAAAUUGUCAUGGUCAAAUGUUUAUUGCUACUCCACGAUAGAAUGAUGAUUUUUAUUUUUGUGACAGUAACAUUUCAAAUUAUAAAAAACAAUGAAUUAAACAAUAUUUUUAUAUUCUUUACAAAAUCUUGGAUGUUUAAAAUUAGACCCUUUAAAUAGACACGUGACUUAAAUGGAAUACCAUAUUUGGGAAUGCACUACACUUAACUUGGAUUGGAAUAUAAUUCAAAAUGGAUAACAAUUAGGAAUGCACCAUGCUUAUUUGGAAUUAAGGGAGAGAGGGAUGACUGUUGGAAUCAUGAAAUGUUAUGGAACGGACCCCUUUUUAAAGAUGUAGAUGUCCCUUAAAGAAACGCUUCCAUCAAAAGAGUUGCACCUAACUAAUAAGAGAUGGGAAUGACUUCCAAAAAAUGUAUCACUUCAUGUUGGUGGCCUUUUUAUUAAACCUAGAAGCAUGUGGGGUUAGGCUCACACAUAUCUGGUGUGGCUUGUGCACAUGUGAGCCUAUGUUAGGCCCAAGUCCACAUUCAUCUAGUUGGAUAUAUGCAUAUGUGAGUUUAUGUAAAAACCCAUGUUUUCUUUUAAGCUUACAAAAUACUUGUAAAGUACCUUUUCGACUAGUGAUCUUCUAAGAAACGCUUCCAUCAAAAGAGUUGCACCUAUCUAAUAAGAAAUGGAAAAGGCGUCUAAAGAAGAUCUCACUUUAUGUUGUUGGUGACCUUUUUUCAAUGUUUUUAAAAUUGGACCGAUUAUUAAAUAUAAAAAAAUUACUCAUUCACGGUUCAUUAAUCGGACUGACAGUUGAACCAGUAACGUCAUAAAUAUAUAAUUUAUAAAUUAUUAAAAUAAAAAUAAAAAUGUAUGUAUUGUUUAAAAAUUAAAAUUUUAUUUGAAAAUCAGAAAAUUAGUUUUAAAAUUAAAAUUAAAAUUAAAAUCAUGGGGGGGAGGGGGAGGGGAGGGGGUUCGUUCUGCCAGUGAGAGAGCGACGUCCGACCAAUCAGCAAUUGACGAUAGUGGGAAGAAGCAGCUAGGGUAGUAGGGUAAGAGGGGUUAUUGGAAAAAAUAAUAAUAAUAAAAGAAAGGUUGAACGGUUCAAUGGUCAAAUCGUCGGUUCAAUCGGUCUAAUUCUGGUUUGACUACUUUUCGACCUAAUUCAUCAAACCAAACCGAAAUUGUGACUUGCUGGUUCGAUCCAAUUUUUAAAACCGUGUAUUUUUAUUAAACCUAAAAGGUGGGUGUAGGAUCACACCUAUCCAAUGUGGCUUGUGCACACGUGAGCCUAUGUUACGCCCAUGUACACAUUCAUCCAAUUAGGUCCAUGCAUAUGUGAGUUGAGGUUAAAAACCAUGUUUUCUUUUUACCUUACAAAAUACUUAUAAAGUACUUUUUCUGACUACUAAUCUUCUAAUGUGGGAUUGCUUUUUUCCACCACAUUCCACAUGAAUGCAUAGGUAACUUUGAGCUCAAUUUGUCAUUAACCCAUAAAUGGUUUUGAGUAUGUAAAUUUCUUAUCCACCAAUACCUACUCGUGCAGACGUUAUUGGUUAUCAUUUGGAGAAAGGUGUCCAACCUAUUGAUUGUUGUAAUUUAGAUUGUCCCAAUUCUAAUAGUUGUGGUUUUAAGGCCUAGAAUUGUUUCGUUGAUUCUCAUCUUAACCCUUCUCUUUAUUCAAUGACUUCCCUUGAAAGUAUUAUUUGAUGAUCUCCUAUCAGGGGGUUGGUCUCUUUCUUAUCUUCUCUUCUUUUUAAAUAGUCCAUUACCUUAUCAUGCAAUUCUUUAAAUGAGAUAGCAGUAUCACAAGCUCUCACAACAACAGUGGUCUCUUUGUAUUUUGAACCUAAUUCAUUGAGAGUGUAAACCACCAGAUCAUCAUUGUGCAAGAGUGAACUAAUAAUAGUAAGUUCAUCAACAAUACUUUCGAAGAUUUGGAUGUAUUCACUAAUAGUUUUUUGUUCUUUGAUCGUUUUUAUAGCCUUUCCCAUGAGGUUAGGAUGCAUGACCUUGAGUAAUUGGCAUUAAGUUUUUUUGGGUGAGACCAUGACUCUAAUGCCUUAGUAGCACAAACCACAAAACAAAAAUAGACUCCAAACUACAAUCUAACAUGAGAUGAAAUAACAAAUUAUUUUAAGGUUAAUUUUGUUGACUUUCCAUGAGGUUUUGACUAAAUAUAUUUAGUUCAUAUUAGUUUGAAAUUUCAUCAAAUACCUCCUCUACCCUUCUCACAAAUUAUUUCACUUACCUGUCUUCUAACUCAAAAUAAAGGAAGUAUUUGACGAUAUUUUAAAUUUAUAAAAACUAGGUAUAUUUAACCAAAACUUGAGGGAAAGUAAGUGAAAUUAACCUAAUUAUCUUACUUUUAAUAUAGCCAAUAUUCCAUAUCUCGUAUUGGUACUUUCCUUCUCCUUUCAAAUUGUUGUAGAAGGGCAAAGAUAUGACCGUUGUUACAUGUGCUAAAUCAUAGUAGUAUAUAAAGAAGCAUGCGGAACUAAACUCUUCACAAUGGAAAGUUUUUAAUCGUAGUUACAUCACUACAUCAAUCAACUCUGUGGUGCUAAUUUGGUAAAAUGUCAAAAGACUUUGACCCAUUAAAGGUAAAAAAGAAUAAAAAUAAAAAUUUGUUGUAGCAAUGGAUACUCUAAAACCAUAAAUACAAAGAAUUUAUAUAACCUAUCACUCGUAUUAUUUUACAUUGUAUAAGUUUACAAUAGAAAUGAUCGACUAAAUAUACAUUGGUAAUAUUAUAGCUUAGGGUCAAAUGUCAUGCGUUAUGAAUGUAAAGAAAAAUUGAACUUGAUGAUUUGGUUGAGCCUUUAUUUGCCAUUAAUAUAUGCCUUUAUGGACUGUCCACUGUAAAUUCCUUUCACUCCUCUCAUUGAAGAAUGAAACUCCACACUUUAUUCAAGUUUAAAAUGUUUUCUUGCAUAUUAAGGAGGAAAUUAAAAAAUAAAUAAAUAAAUAAAGGAAAGGAAAAUGAUCCGUUAAAAAACUAUAUUAUGAAUGUUAGAUAUCUUAAAAAACAAAAAAAUAUAUAUUUGUAGACCCCAUUUUGGGGAGCUGUCAUUUUUCUCACGUUUCCUUUCUUGCAGCUAGCUGUGGCCAAGUGUCACCAUCUUGCAUGGCCACGUGUCACUCCCGGAUUAGUCAAUAUGGGAUCAAAAUAGUGGAAUUGAUGGACCCAUCAGAGGAAGACACCUGGAAAGUGAAGAACAUUCUGGAAUCAGGGGAGCGUAUCUUCUGUUAUGGGAAGGUUGCCAGCUGCAGGAGUAGAGGAGUGGAGGCUGGUUGCUGCAGAGAGAGUGGAGGCUGGCAGAGGAGUGGAGGAGAGGUUUUGCUUUUGAAAAGGCCGUUAGAGAUAUUUUUAGGAUGAGGCAGCGGCAUUGAAGGGGAGAGUUUGGAGAGAUUCUUGAGGAGCAAGCUAGAUAUUGAAAAGAGAGAACGAGACAGAGAGAGCUGCAUUGAGAGGGAGGGAUUUCUUUUAAGCUGAGGCUGGUUGCUGCAGAGAGAGUGGAGGCUGGCAGAGGAGUUUUGGAGAGAAAGAGAAGGGUUUUUGGAGAGAAAGAGAAGGGGUUUUGGAGAGAAAGAGAAGGGUUUUUGGAGAGAAAGAGAAGGAGUUUUGGAGGGAACAGAGAGCUAGAGGGGGAGGAAAAACACUAGGAAGAAAAACAGAGAAAUCAGAAGAGACGGUUUUGGGUAGAGGAGGUUAUCAAGAACCAGAAGAAAAGGGCCUCCAGGUUCUUUUUGAGGGGUAAGUUUUCCACUGUGUUCUUGUUCUUUCUUUUUCUCUUCAUAUAUUGUUGUUGAGAUGCAUUGUUGUUGAUCUUUGGAUGGGUUAUACUCUGUUCUUCAUGGUUGACUGCUCCCCUUUUGCUUCUGUUUAUGGCUGAAAAUUGAUUUAAAUCCAUUUUUACCUUCUUUGUGGCAUUUUAAAGAAAGAAAAAGACCUUUUAAUUCACCCAUCUGCAAACCCACUAAUGAAGAGGUGAAGCAUAGUUCUUCAUGCUUCAUCUCAUUUUUCUUCCUCCAUGGCUCUGUUUUUGCUACUUUUCUCUCUGCUCUUCGUGUUUGGACUUUCUUGGAUAUGAAGCCGUAAUGGGGAGUGAGGCUAUGGGAUGACGAGACAGUGAGGGAUUUGGACUCCUUGAAUCCGUUUAUCCUGUAAAGGCUACUAAGGGCUUGGUAGAUCAAUGUUUGAGCAUAUGAACAGAGAGUGGUCUACACCGGGGAUACCAUUAUUGCCAGUGAUCCGUGUGGCAGAGGUUAGUGGGCUGUAGAGAGGGGAUCCUUUCUGACGGAGCAAAGGAACAAGAGAUGAAUUCAUGGGUUUUCUGAAUUGUUUUCACUAAGAAGGAGUUCACCCAGUACUCUUAGGCCUAAGAAGCUCGGCAUUUCUUUGCAAACAUAAGAAGCACAGGCUGGAACUAUGGAGGCCAUAGGUUUUACAUGGUAAAAAAGUGGGUUGACUGAGGAAUUGAGAAAGAAAUAAAGCAAGCAAAGCCGUCAUCGAAUGACGCCGGCGGCGAAGCGCCUCCACUUUGACUACGUCGUGCCCUCAGUUAUCGACUCUAACCACCGCUUCUCUAGUCUACGCGUGUCGCCGGAAGACUUGACGCUGAUCGUUUCUCUGCCUCUCUUUAUUUUCGGCUCUGUCAGGGGUCGAAACUCAUCCUCCGCUGGCGAUUGCGACGAGUGUCUCUCCUAGCUUAAGCCUCACGAUCAGCUUCGGCUGUUCCUGAUCUGCCGUCACGCUUCCCAUGCUCUAUACAUCAACACGCUGCUGGCAUCCAGUCAGGCAUGUCCUUGUAUCGUGUUCCGCAGGGAAUUCUGGGCCUGAUCUGCUCACUGUGGUGAGUGUCGCGCCAUGGAUUUUAACUGAUGGUGUCCCGACGAUUGACAAGAAGUUUUCCGGUGGAUGUGGUUCUUGGCGACGGAAGAAUCUUCGGUGGUGUGUCUAUGUACUUCGGCGAUCCUCUAAAGGACACUAAUCUCCCCAUUAGUUUACGCUGGUGACUGUGGAAGCAGAUUCCGCUUCAUCGGAAAACCCAAUCCUUCUCAAGUGCCUGGAAAAGCAGUCAUUUGUGAUCGGAACUUCACCUCGGCGCCCAAAGUCGCAGCGUUCUCCAACUGGUUUAGACAUCGACGAGAGACAAGUUGAUUUUAAUAUAAUUUCUGGCACGUCCAUUGCAUGUCCGUACGUGAGUGGAAAUAGCGACUGUGGCAGUGUACCCAAACGGCUUCACCACUCUCAAGCAUGAUGCUCUGAGAGUUGAAUUGAAAUGGAGGGGCGUUCUCAUAUUGCAAUUGUUGUUCCUAGAACUGAUGAGUCAAUCAGUAAAUUGGUUCAGCAACCUCAGAAGUUAAUAGAUCUCCGUGAGGUUCGCGAUAUUACUCAUAUGCCAUUUGCAGAAAGAGAUGACUGAAGGGAAACGGGUUCCUCUGAAUAUUACUAAAUUUGAUUAUGAAUGUUUGAGAAAGACCGCUGACAGUCAAGCAUAUUAAGGGGAUCCAUAUAAAGAAUUGUGGGUGUCCUUUGUUGACCGAGUUGGUCUUAGUCACAGAUAUCCUCAUCCAUGGCUGCUGAUAUAUCUCCUAAUUCUUCUUGAUGCUGCGGAAGAUAUUGUUGAAAUAGGAAAAACUGGGUGGAGAGAUCAAUUGUUACUCUGAUUUGAUUUUGGAUUGAAAAGGGAUGGGUUCAUUCAUGGAGCAUGUUCUGCCAGGAACGCUGUUUCUAGCAGUGAGUUUGUGGCACAUAUGCAGCGCAGUGGUGAGAUUUGUGAUGAACCCAAAGGGGUUUCAGGUUCGGGUUUUGAACCCAGUGUCUGGUUUUGAUGGAAGGCUUAGAUACUUGGAGCUUUAUGUGGUGGCAAUCGGAGCUUUUAUUGAUAUGUGCAUAGAGUUUUUGUAUUCAACUCAUCUCAAGUUCUUUGUGAAUGGGGUCUUGAACCCAUCUCACACGAAUGACUUUGAGCACUCUGGGAUGCUUCUCAUGUUCUUUAUUUUCGGGGUCGUCGCCUUGUUCUCCCAGCAAACCGGGCUUGUUCAAAACUGAAUAACCAAUGCUCAAUAGCCUUCACAUAGCUCCAUUCUGCCCUCACAUACUUCCAGCGCGUGACUUGUUUGAAUGAGAGCGACUUUUAUUGCCAAACAGUUACUUGGGGAACCGGUGACGUUACUCCUAUUGCAGGAUUGCUUGGCAAAUCUCAAUUCCAGAUUCACUUAGGAGGGAUCCUUGGCUGCUAAUUGGAAGGCUUCAAGACAGAAGGAAGCGAAGAGUGAUGAUACCAGGGAAGUGACUCAAUUAUCUACUCUACACUUGCCCGCUCAUGGCCCCAAAAUCUCAGAAGUGGUCAAGAAGUUGGAAGACUGCAUGUUCUGAAAUUGACCUAGCCUUUCAAAUCGGGUUCCCUACAUUGAAAUAAGAAGCAGUAGCAUGAGUUAUCCUCCAGAAUGGCUCUAUUCUCUGCAUGGUGCAUGGCCACCUUUGGGCCACAGUGCCAUUUCCCAUUUCACCAUCUCUAAUUUUGAAAAAUAUUCUUUUAAAUCCCAUUCUUCAAAUAAUUUUCUAGAUUUUAGUUUGUUUUAAAAUAAUUUCAAACUCGUCCACUUUUCAUCUUUAGUUUCUUUUUCUUAGAUUCCAAAAAUCCAUUUUUCCAAUAAAAUUUUGCUACCACUUUUCUUCCUAGCAAGCCAUUUUCAUAUCUCUUCUGUUUUUUUUAAAUUGUUUUGAAAUAAGCAAGAAUUAAUUCCGUAAUUCCGAAUAAUGGAAUUUAUGGAAUUAAUUCAUGCUAAGAUAAAUGGGCUUUGGUGGGGGCCCAACAUAUGAGAUUUUAUGAUUGAUUGACUGAUUGAUUGAUUCAUUAGCUAUAUGUGAUUGAUUUAUUCUGUUCCUUGGUAUACACAUUAUCCUUCUGUGUUUGUUCACUAACCCUGUUUCUGAUAGCACGUUACGGCUCGUGGCCCCGGUACGCACUCUCUAUACCUAUUCUGUUUCUCAUAUGUGCAUAAUUGAUUCGAGUAUUCAUUGCUUUCCUCAUCAAUUGCCACAUCAGCUUCAUUUUAUUAGUAGAGACCCGAUUUUAGGGACUUAGAGGGGUGCUAUGGUCUUUACCGUACCUUCCCGAUAAGUAACCUGACCCCCGAACCCGAUCCGGUUUUUCGUAGAUCACCUUUUCCAAAUAAGGAGUCACACUUAGGGUUUUUCUUUCUUAUUUUGUUUACCCUUUUAAAAAUAAAACAAAAAUACAGCUAAAAUCGAGCUCGCCAUUGAGUGGGAAACGCAUUGAGAUAGAUCGAAAUGCGGGGUCCACAACGCGUUCUUUUAUUCUCUUUAGUUUUAUAAAAAAGAUGGUAAAAAUGUAGUGAUCUUCUUUUAGUUUCUGUUUUAUAAGUGAGAGGGGACUAAGAUAGUAUUUAUUUUUUGACUGAAUAUAAAAAAUCAAAAUAUAUACAAAUUUACUUUAAUUAUAUUGGACGAUGUUAAUAGGUUACUUUUAGCUAAAUAAAAAAAAAAUCAAAACCUUAGAAAAAUAUUUUAAGUUUUAUUUACUCAAAUCAAUGUUUCCAAAAAUAUCCUUAUUGUCAAAACUGACUUAAAUGAAAAAUAAAUAAAAAAAUAUAAGCAAAAAACAAUUUAAUAGUUUUUAAAAAUAUUAUUAAAUCAUCAUUUGGUUCCCUUUUAUUCUGUCACUUUAAUUCUUUAAAACUAAAUUUAAUUCUUUUAUAACAAUAGAACAUAGGGGCCUAAGGUUGGAAAAUGACAAUUUACCCUAUUUGAAAAAAGAAAAAUUAUAUAUUCAUUUCUAGCCAAAAACAACUUUAUAUGUAAUUGUCAUUUUUUAUCAACCCCCACCGCUGAUGCAAAAGCCUUAACCUUGAAUGGAAUUUUAAUUUCAAAGACAUUUAGCACAUAGGAUAAAAAUUGUGCAUUUCAAUGAUCAAAGCUUCAUAUCUUAAAAGGUAGGUAAAUUUUAAAAUUCAACUAAGUUAUGUCUUCAAAAGACAAUAUUUAAUUGGAUUCUUUCGAGGUGUCAUAGAAUUAGAAAUAUUUUUUGAAUUAUUAUAUUUUAAAAAAUAUAUUUUUUUAAAUUGCCUUACUUUGUUCAAAAUGCCAAGAAGCAGGCAUAGGAACUAUAACAAAGCUCCAUCUCUAUUAGGGUACCAGAGAGGAUGAAUUGAAAAGGCUAGGAAAAUCUAAUUCCAGAAACUUCUACUUGCAUAAGAUACAGAGUGACUACAGAAUAUGCUCAAUGGCAUAGACAAGGAGGCCACACAUGCUUGCUUAUUUAGAUGGUGCAACAUGACAAUGAAAACUAGCAGGACCAGAAAUUACCUCUCACACAAACUGGUCAAGGUACUCAUCCACAGUUGUGUAUUUGACAUCGGGAUAUAGCUCUGAAGCCUCCACUCCAAAUGAUGGCUUGAUCUCAAAGUUGGUGUGGUCUCCCUUAAUGAAAACAGAGUGACUGAUAGAUAAUAUCACAUUGAGUGGAAAAGAGGCUUCUGCAAGAAACACAGGAAAAGCCAUUAAUUUGAAGAUAUUUGUCAUCAUUAAGAUUAUGUUUGGUUUCCAAAAAAUUUGAGGGAAAAUGCAAGAAAAGAAAAUAGAGAGGAAAAGUGGAAAGAAAAAAAAAGAAAAAAAAUAAAAAAAAUGGAUUCAAAAUCAAUAAAUUAUUUUUAAAUGCUAUUUCAAACUCAUUUCACCCAUUUCCCCCUAUUAUAUAAAGAUUAAACAAUUUUAAAAUGUAUAAAUUUUUAAUUAAUUUUAAUUAUAAUUUAUUUUCUUUCAUAUUUUCUAUAAUGAAACCAAGCAUGAGAAAACUAUUUUCUUUAAUAUUUUUUUUAUUUCCUUAAUACUUUCCGAGAGCCAAACAUAGUCUAAAAGAUCAACUAUAUAAACAGGGGCCAAAAAAUGGCCUCAAUGGUAAAAAAAUUAUCCUAUGUAGGAACCUUCCCAAACUUAUUUUUCAAACUAGAACUCUUGAUGCCAUCUACGCCCCAUUUUUAUUUUAUUUUUUUCCUUUUUAGUCAUAAGUUGAAAAUGCAUUUCUGAUUUUAUAAAGAAGUCAAAUUUUGAGCAAUGGUUUGAAACAUGACCCAAACUCAAUAUUAUUUGACCAAAACAGGCCUUUUUUUUAUCCAAAAUUCAUAUAAACACGUAAUGCUUGCAAGUUCAACCAACUCCUCUUUCUUUCUUUUCUUUUAUUCCCUUCAUUUUUCAAAUCCAUUGAGCAACUGCAAAUUGUUAGUCUGUCAUAUGAAUCUCUAAGGAAGACCCUAAUUGAGGUCUGGGGCACGAUCAAAUGAUUUUACCAGCAGGCCACCUAAUAUUUUCUAAGUUAAAACAAUUGAAUCAAGAACCAAUUUCAUUUUAACAAGGUAGCAUAACGAGAAUGUUUCAUUCCCAAUCUCUAUUCCAAUUUAAAUUAACUAGGAAAACCAAAGUAUGAACACUUUUAAAAAAAGAAAAUAUUUCUCACUAACCUUGGAUGUUCUUCAGAACUUGCUCCUCUGGAACAUAAAUCUUCUCAAGGGUUUUUCCAAUCUUCUUUUCCCAUAAGGAGAGAAUUUCGUUGAAUGAGUAGGUGUUCUGAGGAGGCCUGAUGUAAAGGAUUUUGUUCAAGGCUCUAGGAUCAUCCGCAGCUUUAAUAGUAUAGGUGCCAAUGUCAUCCUCCUUGUUAAAAACAGC
rnacentral:lncRNA from 1 species